rnacentral:lncRNA from 1 species
UCUUUUUUUUUUUCCUUGGUCGUCGCUCGUCGCGACUUCGCGAGGCACGAGGGCGCGGGUCCCAUUGGGUAUCUGCAUCUCUGACCCGUGUCUGGCCAAUCACGUGGCGAGCGCAAGUUACGAUGCACGCCGGCGAUCGCCGGCAGCGGCGCACGUGAAGGAUCGGAAGUGGCGCUCGUGAUCGAACAGGGGACUCGGCAGACAUGUUUACUGCUGCUGCUCGACAUGCACAGGCAGAGGACGCAGGCGAGGCGAUGAUGGUUCAGACAUCAGAAGCAAGGCCACUUGCAAGUUGCAACUUGCUCAAGAUCUUCAAGACGAAACAGCAGAUACAUGCCCAACAAUUCAGAAAAAUGUAGCAGUAGAGUCGACAUUUUAGGCUCCGUUUGGAUUUUAGUUGCUUCGAGUUCCUAUCACAUCGAAUGUUUAGAUACUAAUUAGGAGUACUAGUCCAUCAACCCGUGCUCCCGCACGAGUUAAUGUUUUUAGAAGUUAUUGUAUUUAAAAUUAUUUAGAAAUUAAACUCUUAGCUAAUAAUCAAAAUUUUUUACCUACUGCUCUAUUAUUUUUCCAAUACUUCAACAUAAUACUUAUAUACCUAUCUUUGUCCAGUUGUGAUUGAUUUUUAAUUAAUAAUUACUCUAUGCACUUUUUCAUCCACAUUCAUACUUGUUCAUUUUGUAUCACAACUCCAAUCCUCCAUACAUUAUGUUUAGCAUACAAAUCAAUAUUUUUCAUCGAUUCCGCACGUAUAUGCAUAAAUGGUCUAAAUGGUGGCACUCAUCAUGUGUAUAUACUUUAACUUAGUAUUUUUAUAUUACCAAUGACAUAAAUAUGUAAUUUAGAAUCAUAUAUUAGUUUACUUUUUGACAUUUCUGUAUGAUGCACAUGAAGAUAAUUAGAUUAAGAUUUAGAUGUUUACUUUAUGUUAUUUUUAAUAACGACAUACGUGGGUAACAUAGAUAAAAUUUUAGAAUGACAUUUUAAGUUAUGUUUUAUAAUGAUGUGUAUUAGUAAAUUGGAUGAAUAUUAUGAGGUUACUUUAGAUUAUGUUUUAUAAUAGCUGAGCUCGGUAAUUUAGAUAUAGGUUUAGAGCUCAUUUUUUAAUAUUUUCACAAUGACAGUGGUGGGUAACUUUUUAGAAAAUAUAAUAGAUCAAUGGCUAUGAUUAUUAGAGUUUAAAGGAUUGGUGUUUGAUGUUUUUAAUUUUUAUGAGAAUUUCUCUCUUUUUUCUAGUUUGUCUCGUGGGAACUAAUGCAGAGUCUCCAAUGAAAAAGAAAUGAGACUACAUUACUACAAAACUACUACCAUAGGCUACCUCUCAUUUGUUAAAUAUUCGAACACAAUACUUAUGUAGAUAUAUACUUAAUAUCUUCAUCCAAUUGUGAUAGAUUUUAGUUAGUAAUUACUUUAUAAUAUUUUCAUCCACAUUUAUAAUCUUUAACUUUUCACUUUGGAUCGCAGGUAUGCACUUAAAUUUGUUUAAUGAACCCUAUGUUUGAGAUACAAUUUUAGCAUAGAAAUCUAUAUUCCCAUCACUUUAUAUCCUUAUAAAUGGUGACACACAUCAUGCAUAUAGACCUUAAUUAUUAUAUCGUAUACCAAUAGUGUAAGAUAUAGACAAUUUUGAAUCAUAUAAUGUUGUAUAUUUUUAAUUAAGGUUAUUUGAUUCAAACGUAGGUUACCUCAUGUUAUUUUUAAUAAUAGCAUGUGUAGGUAAUAUAGAUGCAAAUUUAAGGGGUUACUUUAAGUUCUUUAAGUAAUAGUUGUAGGCAAUUCAGUUGCAAAUUAGGGGGUUAUUUUAAAUAUUGUUUAUAAUAUCAUAAGUGGGUAAUUUUGAUGAAGAUUAGGGGGUUACUUUAGUUUAUUUAUAUAAUGGCAGAGGUGGGUAAUUUAUAUAUAGAUUUAGGGGUUACUUUAUUAGGCUAUUUUUAUAAUGGCAUAGGUGGGUAAUUUUUUUAGAAAAUAUAAUAGAUCCAAUGGCUAUGAUGAUUUGAAUCUAUCGAUCGAUGGUCGGAUGUUUUGCUUUUUGUGAGAAUUUCUAGGAUUUCUCUCUUUUUCUAGAGUGUGUCCACCUAGGAAUCCUAGGUGGCUUCACCUGAAGGCUUCAAAAGGAACCUCCAAUUAAUAAUAGUAAGAUUAAACAUAGACUAAUUGGAAAACCAAUUGCACAGAUGGAGGCUAAUUUGCGAGACGAAUCUAUUAAGCUUAAUUAGUCCAUGAUUUGAUAAUGCGAUGCUACAGUAAACAUAUGCUAAUGAUGGAUUAAUUAGGCUUAAUAGAUUCGUCUCGUGAAUUAACCUCCAUCUGUGUAAUUAGUUUUAUAAUUAGCUCAUGUUUAGUUCUCCUAAUUAACCUUCGAAUAUUCGAUGUGACAUGAACUUUAGUCCGAACUAAAGAUCAAACACUCCCUUAGUACACUCCCUUAGUCAUUAAGGAUUCGAUUUUUUCAGGUUUGGUUUUUCUAAAAAACUUACUAGGAGACGGUUUUAUUAACUCCCCGUAAAAAACCAAGAACAAUCUUUGAAACCGUCAUUGUUGGUGACGGUAGUUGGGAGUGGCAUGUUUUGGAGUGUUGGAAGAUGGCAAAAGUGCGCAUGCCGAAACGAGGAGCGAACCAGCCAGGCAGCCAGGCAGCCAAGGACGUCAGAACAUCAGUGUCCCUACUAGGGAAUGGAACCACUACCCUCUUUGCAGCAAAAUAGCCUAGUUGCUGCACUUCACCAUGGCCGUUGCUUUGCUGCCAUGGCGUCGGCUUUUCCAUCGUCUUUUUUCUAAGAUGUGCCACCUUUUUGCUUACCAGUUUGCUUUUUUUUUUACCCAAGAUAUUUUUUUUCUAUUUAGGAUAAGAGGAGAAAUGGUAUGGGUUCUGAAAAGGAUUGUUAGAUUUGGCUAGGCUGGCUUUGCACAUGGCUGCGCGGUCUCGCCAUUGGCUUGGCACUUUGGCAGUGGCCAAGAAGGAAUUCCAAUUUCCAUCCAUCCGCCCAGGGCCGGUCCUGGGGCAGGGUGGACGGGGCGGCCGUCCCAGGCCCCCCAAAAGUCAGGGCCCCAGUUGGUGUGUAUCAGUGUCUGCAAUAGCUAGUGAUUUGUGCCAUCAUGAUCUGGAGCGAAAGGACCUUCCUCCGUGAAACACGUCGCUUCAGUCAAUUGUGAUUAUCUUCCAUGCCCUAAGCCGGCCCCUAAUCCCGUCUUGUCUCCGCUCUUCUCUCCUUCCUCGUAUCUAGCACAAAACACUCCUGCAUAUCCC